rnacentral:rRNA from 1 species
GAUGAACGCUGGCGGCGUGCCUAAUACAUGCAAGUCGAGCGAACGGACGAGAAGCGUGCUUCACUGAUGUUAGCGGCUGACGGGUGAGUAACACGUGGAUAACCUACCUAUAAGUCUGGGAUAACUUCGGGAAACCGGUGCUAAUACCGGAUCAUAUUUUGAACGGCAUGGUUAAAAAGUGAAAGACGGUCUUGCUGUCACUUAUAGAUGGAUCCGCGCUGCAUUAGCUAGUUGGUAAGGUAACGGCUUACCAAGGCAACGAUGCAUAGCCGACCUGAGAGGGUGAUCGGCCACACUGGAACUGAGACACGGUCCAGACUCCUACGGGAGGCAGCAGUAGGGAAUCUUCCGCAAUGGGCGAAAGCCUGACGGAGCAACGCCGCGUGAGUGAUGAAGGUCUUCGGAUCGUAAAACUCUGUUAUUAGGGAAGAACAUAUGUGUAAAUAACUGUGCACAUCUUGACGGUACCUAAUCAGAAAGCCACGGCUAACUGCGUG